rnacentral:piRNA from 1 species
UGAUCUUUGCAUUAUGCUCCUGAGACCGGA